GCAGGCUGCAACUCGCCUGCAUGAAGCUGGAAUUGCUAGUAAUCGCGGAUCAGCAAGCCGCGGUGAAUACGUUCCCGGGCCUUGUACACACCGCCCGUCACACCAUGAGAGUCGGGAACACCCGAAGUCCGUAGCCUAACCGCAAGGAGGGCGCGGCCGAAGGUGGGUUCGAUAAUUGGGGUGAAGUCGUAACAAGGUAAC
rnacentral:rRNA from 1 species